rnacentral:rRNA from 1 species
GAUGAACGCUAGCUACAGGCUUAACACAUGCAAGUCGAGGGGAAACGAUAGAGAAAGCUUGCUUUUUCUAGGCGUCGACCGGCGCACGGGUGAGUAACGCGUAUCCAACCUGCCCAUCACUUGGGGAUAACCUUGCGAAAGUAAGACUAAUACCCAAUGACGUCUCUAGAAGACAUCUGAAGGAGAUUAAAGAUUUAUCGGUGAUGGAUGGGGAUGCGUCUGAUUAGCUUGUUGGCGGGGUAACGGCCCACCAAGGCGACGAUCAGUAGGGGUUCUGAGAGGAAGGCCCCCCACAUUGGAACUGAGACACGGUCCAAACUCCUACGGGAGGCAGCAGUGAGGAAUAUUGGUCAAUGGACGAGAGUCUGAACCAGCCAAGUAGCGUGCAGGAUGACGGCCCUAUGGGUUGUAAACUGCUUUUAUAAGGGAAUAAAGUGAGUCUCGUGAGACUUUUUGCAUGUACCUUAUGAAUAAGGACCGGCUAAUUCCGUGCC